rnacentral:rRNA from 1 species
CAGUAGCCGCGGUAAUACGGAGGAUGCAAGCGUUGUCCGGAAUCAUUGGGCGUAGAGGGUCCUGAGGUGGUUUGCUUAGUCCAGUGUGAAAGUUCAGGGCUUACCCUUGAAAAUGCGGUGGAAACUAGCAGGCUAGAGUACGGUGGGGGCAGAGGGAAUUCCCGAUGUAGCGGUAAAAUGCGUAGAUCUCGAGAGGAACACCAAUGGCGAAGGCAGCUUCUUGGUCCAUUCCUGACGUUCAUACACGAAAGCGUGGGGAGCAAACAGGAUUAGAUACCCCAGUAGUCCCUGUCUCUUAUAC